rnacentral:lncRNA from 1 species
GGAAUUUCGUUAAUUGGUAUUGUUAAGUCCAACUCCAUUAUCCAUAAGUGUUUUCACGAAAAAUUGAUUCCUAAAGUUCUGUCGACGGCUAAUUUAUUUCACUGUUGCUAUACUUUAUUUUUCACAAUAGUUUAUCAUCUUGUUAACUAACUGCUGCUAUCUUUUAGAUCCAUAUCACCUGGUGCUAUUUUACUUAAUAGUUUAUCAUCAUCAUCUUGUUGAGAGCUGAUGUUUGGCAUAUUUCGAUAUGUGUUGAUGUUACUUUACUCAUGUUUUAACCGCUUCUUGAUGUUAUUUGACCUUUAAAAUGCCCAACAUGGUUUAAUUAUUGGUUUUAUGACUAAUUGAGUUGUGUGUGGUGAAUUAGGGUAUUUGGAGUGCAAAAAUAUGAAGAAAAGGUGCUCUAGGUAGAGGAAGAGAGAUUGGAUGCGUCGCAUCCAAUCUAGAAAAAGAUCAGUUCGCGCACCCUUAGCAGUGAAGUCAGCCCAUAGCAUCCGCCAUAGCAUCCGCACCUGGGCAAAGCUGAGAUGGAGGAACUAGGGGUGGAUGCGUCGCAUCCACCCUCACAUGCAAAGAUGAGAAAUAGAGGACAAGGUGGAUGCGUCGCAUCCACCUUCGCAGGCAAAAUUGAAAUGGAGGACGAGGUGGAUGCGUCGCAUCCACCUUAGCAUCAAUCCCUGAAGCCGAUUUGGACUAGGAAUAGGAGAGCUUUGGCCCACGACUUUUGUACGCAAUAUAUAAGCCAAAAACGCCUCCUUUAGGUUAUAUAACAUAUUGGGGAGAGGGAAAAAGCCACGAAAAAGCUGUGGAGGCUGGAAUUC